GAUGAACGCUGGCGGCGUGCCUAAUACAUGCAAGUCGAGCGAACGGACGAGAAGCUUUCUUCUCUGAUGUUAGCGGCGGACGGGUGAGUAACACGUGGAUAACCUACCUAUAAGACUGGGAUAACUUCGGGAAACCGGAUCUAAUACCAGAUAAUAUUUUGAACCGCAUGGUUCAAAAGUUAAAGACGGUCUUGCUGUCACUUAUAGAUGUAUCCGCGCUGCAUUAGCUAGUUGGUAAGGUAACGGCUUACCAAGGCAACGAUGCAUAGCCGACCUGAGAGGGUGAUCGGCCACACUGGAACUGAGACACGGUCCAGACUCCUACGGGAGGCAGCAGUAGGGAAUCUUCCGCAAUGGGCGCAAGCCUGACGCAGCAAUGCCGCGUGAGUGAUGAAGGUCUUCGGAUCGUAAAACUCUGUUAUUAGGGAAGAAAAUAUGUGUAAGUAAAUGUGCCCAUCUUGACGGUACCUAAUCAGAAAGCCACGGCUAACUACGUG
rnacentral:rRNA from 1 species